CAGUAGCCGCGGUAAUACAGAGGGUGCAAGCGUUAAUCGGAAUUACUGGGCGUAAAGCGCGCGUAGGUGGUUUGUUAAGUUGGAUGUGAAAUCCCCGGGCUCAACCUGGGAACUGCAUUCGAAACUGACUGACUAGAGUAUGGUAGAGGGUGGUGGAAUUUCCUGUGUAGCGGUGAAAUGCGUAGAUAUAGGAAGGAACACCAGUGGCGAAGGCGACCACCUGGACUAAUACUGACACUGAGGUGCGAAAGCGUGGGGAGCAAACAGGAUUAGAUACCCCGGUAGUCCCUGUCUCUUAUAC
rnacentral:rRNA from 1 species